GCGGGGCGCGCAGCCUUCCUGAUGUGUCACCAGCACGUGGAGCCAGGUCGGGAAGAGCGAGUCAGCGGAACCCCCCCAACUUUCGAGGGGUCUCGCUGCCCCUCUUCUUUCCCCGCUGCUCGGGGCGCAACCCCCUUGGGGAGGGGGCGGCGACGGCUCCCAGGUCCGGGACAGGUCGAGCGAGGCCAUGGCCCCCCACCAGGCUGGAACGUCGGGGCGCGGCUACACCCUGGUGCCCCGCAGCGGCACGGGCUCGGCCGUGCGGGAGGGUGCGGCGUGGGGCCUGCGGCAGAGGCGCCCGCGGCAGCAGCGCCCGCGGCUCGGCCCGCACCCCGCCGAGCUGAGCGCAGCCCAGGUUGGGCUGGUGACUUUCCCACAGAUGGGGAGGUUUGCAGAGCAGCAAGCAGCAUGUGUCCUGUGUCUUGAGGACCUCAAGGGUCAGCAGAGGAAGUUCAUCCUCAGUAUUCCUAAGGUCCCAGGAGUCAUCACCUGAGAAAGAUGAAAGCACUCAUCACCCGAGAAGAUGGUCUCCAGUGCUGGGCAUUUGUGGGAAUUUGACCGCCCUGACUUCACCUCCUGCCAGCCUAGUCCUUGCUCUGUGGCUCUAGCCCCUCCGCCACGGCUGUGCUUCCAUGCCAGCUCUGCCAGCAAUGACUUUAAGGGCUGGAGCCACAGCCACCUCCUACUCGGAAAUUAACGCUCCAAGGAACACACUUGAGUGGAAGACACUGGUGCCUGGCGUGGGGAAGACGCUCUGUAGGUGGCAGUGGCAUUGCACUGCUUGGGAGGUGAAGUCUGAGCCUCCACAUGGCGAUUGGUGCCUUCUGACCUCGGUGCUACAACAAUGACCUUUCUGGACAGUCUGCUCUGGCCUUCUGAACUCUGUUGGGAUAGUGGUUCUGGAUUGGAGAGCUGCAGUUCUGGCCUCUUCGCCUUCCUCCUUCACCAGCUGCUUGGGGCAUAGAUGGCCCAGAAUCCAUGGGCUGGAAGUGCCUCCUGCUGGACUUGACUCGUGGGGAAGGAAUUGGACACAAGAGUUAAAACAGAAGGUGAGCCCACAGGAAAUGGCCCUGGGCUGGCGUGAGGGUCCAUCCCUGGUGGCCUGGUCAUUGCAGGUUUGUCAGGAUGUAGGAAUGGCAUGACACCACCACCCCUGGGUCUUUGAAAGAGAUCCAUUAGUUUUCCAUGGCCUUUUUUCUGAUAAUACUUCUUUUAUCUUCGGGGAUCACCUUCCCCCUACCCUGGAUUCCUGGGUUUGGGUGUGUCCGCUCUCACCUGCUGGCUUUAGAGGCAUACAUGUGAUCCAGGUCUGGACCCAGACUCCCCCGCAGCUCUUCUGAAGCAAAUCUGGGGGAAAGAGCCUUUCUCUUCCUGUGGCAGUUGCUAAGUCCAUGGGAGGAAGCCUGAAACUGCUGGUGACCAAGCUCUUAUCCACUUGACAACGAAGCCAACAACGAGGAGAGAGAACUAAGAUGGAGAGACACUCAGUGCAACCAAAGCCAACUGCAUCCCUGCGCUAUGCAGAUUGAAUGAGACAGUGCAUAUCUUUUUUGCUAAAACUAGCCUGAGUUGGGGUUUGUCACAGAAAUGUUCCCAAUGCAGGCAGGGUUUUUGUUUUUGAUUUGUUUUUUAUAUCGACGUUUUGAGGUAUAUUUCCACACAGUGAAAUCCACCCAUUUUAAGUGAACAUAAGUUUUGUCAAGUGUGUAUGCCUGUGUAGCUGCCACCCCAUCAGAUGGACAGUGUUUCUUCCUCCAAAAUGUUCCCUUGUUGCCCUCCAACCUCAGAUGACCACUGAGCUGCCUUCCUGGAGCUUCCUUUUGCCUUUGUAGAAUCUCAUCCAAUCCCUAAUGUAGUCCCGGCUCUGAUUUCUCUUACUCAGCAUGUUUUUCAGGUUCAUCACUGUUGCGCGCAGUAAUGAUCCAAUCCUUUCUAUUGCUGGGUAGCCUGAUGUAUAGAUGUGCCACAGGUUCUUUAUCCACGUAUCAGAUGGGCUUGAAAGAUAAAGUCUAAAUAGACUGCAUUCAUGAAGCCAAAUGUAUUCCUUAAGAUGUAUCCAGAACUGCCUGUCCUUCACUGGGAGCAGCAAGUCACAAGAAGAACCUGGAGGUGAAAUCAUUCCAGCCCCAAACAAAGAAACCUUUUGUUUGUUAGCAUUUUGGCUGGGCACCAACACAACAGGGGCUCCUCCCGGAGGAUGUCAGGCACGAGCACCUAACCCUUGCCAAGGGUUCUGUUUUCUGGGGAGCCAGGCCCUCCGGCUCCCGGGUCUGCACUGCACUGCU